rnacentral:rRNA from 1 species
GACGAACGCUGGCGGCGUGCUUAACACAUGCAAGUCGAACGCUGAAGCUCAGCUUUUGUUGGGUGGAUGAGUGGCGAACGGGUGAGUAACACGUGAGUAACCUGCCUCCUUCUUUGGGAUAACGCCCGGAAACGGGUGCUAAUACUGGAUAUUCACUGGUCUUCGCAUGGGGGUUGGUGGAAAGGGUUUUUUGGUGGGGGAUGGGCUCGCGGCCUAUCAGCUUGUUGGUGGGGUGAUGGCCUACCAAGGCUUUGACGGGUAGCCGGCCUGAGAGGGUGACCGGUCACAUUGGGACUGAGAUACGGCCCAGACUCCUACGGGAUGCAGCAGUGGGGAAUAUUGCACAAUGGGCGCAAGCUUGAUGCAGCGACGCCGCGUGAGGGAUGGAGGCCUUCGGGUUGUGAACCUCUUUCGCUCAUGGUCAAGCCGCAACAAUGGUUGUGGUGAGGGUAGUGGGUAAAGAAGCGCCGGCUAACUACGUG